GUUGAGGGAACAGCUCCAACACCAUGUAUCCAUUCUCUGCCUAAUAACAGAUUGUAAUUAGGUUUGGCAGCUAUGACCAUAAACAAGGUCUUUCGAACUGUACUACCAACACAAACUUCCAAUUGCACUGCCCCCAGGGAAUGGCCAGUUUUUCCCUCAUAGUUGGCCAACACCACAUUGUGGGAAUGAAGGUCUGUGUCAUAGAGACCUAAUUUCUUCAACAUGAAGUGAGGCAUGAUAUUCACCACAGCUCCUCCAUCCACUAAGACUUUAUUGAUUCCCACAUNNNAAAGCUUUCAAGUGGUUCUGCAUUCCCAGAUCUGGCUUUUCGAAGACAGCUUUUUGCUCUUCGACACAACCAUUUUGCAUAACAUAGUAACACAUUGGCUUAUGA
rnacentral:lncRNA from 1 species